CCUACGGGGGGUAGCAGUGGGGAAUAUUGGACAAUGGGCGAAAGCCUGAUCCAGCCAUGCCGCGUGUGUGAAGAAGGCCUUCGGGUUGUAAAGCACUUUCAGUGGGGAAGAAAGCCUUGGGGCUAAUACCCUCGAGGAAGGACAUCACCCACAGAAGAAGCACCGGCUAACUCCGUGCCAGCAGCCGCGGUAAUACGGAGGGUGCGAGCGUUAAUCGGAAUUACUGGGCGUAAAGCGCGCGUAGGCGGUCUGAUAAGCCGGUUGUGAAAGCCCCGGGCUCAACCUGGGAACGGCAUCCGGAACUGUCAGGCUAGAGUGCAGGAGAGGAAGGUAGAAUUCCCGGUGUAGCGGUGAAAUGCGUAGAGAUCGGGAGGAAUACCAGUGGCGAAGGCGGCCUUCUGGACUGACACUGACGCUGAGGUGCGAAAGCGUGGGUAGCAAACAGGAUUAGAUACCCGGGUAGUC
rnacentral:rRNA from 1 species